GAUGAACGCUGGCGGCGUGCCUAAUACAUGCAAGUCGAGCGAACAGACGAGGAGCUUGCUCCUUCGACGUUAGCGGCGGACGGGUGAGUAACACGUAGGUAACCUACCUAUAAGACUGGGAUAACUUCGGGAAACCGGAGCUAAUACCGGAUAAUAUUUCGAACCGCAUGGUUCGAUAGUGAAAGAUGGCUUUGCUAUCACUUAUAGAUGGACCUGCGCCGUAUUAGCUAGUUGGUAAGGUAACGGCUUACCAAGGCAACGAUACGUAGCCGACCUGAGAGGGUGAUCGGCCACACUGGAACUGAGAGACGGUCCAGACACCGACGGGAGGCAGCAGUAGGGAACCGUCCGCAAUGGGCGAAAGCCUGACGGAUCAACGCCGCGUGAGUGAAGAAGGUCUUCGUGUCGUAAAACGCUGUUAUUAGGGAAGAACAAACGUGUAAGUAACUGUGCACGUCUGGAGGGUACCUAAUCAGAAAGCCACGCUUAACUACGU
rnacentral:rRNA from 1 species